GACGUAGGGCGCGAGCGUUGUCCGGAUUUAUUGGGCGUAAAGAGCUCGUAGGCGGCUUGUCGCGUCGUCCGUGAAAACCUGCAGCUCAACUGCAGGCUUGCGGUCGAUACGGGCAGGCUGGAGUUCGGUAGGGGAGACUGGAAUUCCUGGUGUAGCGGUGAAAUGCGUAGAUAUCUGGAGGAACACCGGUGGCGAAGGCGGCAUCCUGGACCGACACUGACGCUGAGGAGCGAAAGCCAGGGGAGCAAACGGG
rnacentral:rRNA from 1 species